CAACUCAGCACGUGAUCCCUUCUUUCUGGUCUCUGAUUCUCUUUUGCUAAUCCCACCCGGAGUCUGCAACUGGGACAGCAAUAGCUCCUGCCGGGGAUCUACCAGAAGAAGAAGAUUCGUUCAUGCCAUUGCCAGACUUUUAGGCUAAAUCCCAGAUUCCUCUUUUCUCUUCUAUUGGGCAGGAGGAGGAGAUAAUGAUUUUAACGUCUCCUCAGACUCCAUAUGUUCUUUCUCUGGAUGUGCAUGGCACUUUUCAUCAUGAAUCUUUUGGAAUCAUCUUGGAUCAGUCUUAUACAGAAGGGCUAAGUCAAUCUUAGCUUAUCAUUGCACAGUGUUGCUGUUCUGUGGGCAAUGUUUUCCUGGUUCUGCCCACUUUACUCAACAUCAGUUUGUGCUCAGUUCUUUCUCUGGAGAUGGACCGCACUACUUUUCACCAUAAAUCCUUCAGAACUGUUUUGGAUCAUAGUAUUGCUGAGAAUAGUUCAGUUAUUCACAAGCAUCCUGCUUGAAAUCUGAAAUCAGAAUAGUAUACCAUCACAAUCCUCGAUAACAACUUGUUCAGCCAUUCUUCAAUUGCUGGACAUCCCCUCACUUUCCAGCUCUUUCUCACCAUUAAAAGCUGUUACAAACAUUUUUGUUUUGUUAAAAUCUCUUUGGGAUACAAAGCCAAUAGCAGUACUGCUUGAUCAAAGCCCACAU
rnacentral:lncRNA from 1 species